ACUGAACGCUGGCGGCAUGCCUUACACAUGCAAGUCGAACGGUAACAGGUCUUCGGAUGCUGACGAGUGGCGAACGGGUGAGUAAUACAUCGGAACGUGCCUAGUAGUGGGGGAUAACUACUCGAAAGAGUGGCUAAUACCGCAUGAGAUCUACGGAUGAAAGCAGGGGAUCGCAAGACCUUGUGCUACUAGAGCGGCCGAUGGCAGAUUAGGUAGUUGGUGGGAUAAAAGCUUACCAAGCCGACGAUCUGUAGCUGGUCUGAGAGGACGAUCAGCCACACUGGGACUGAGACACGGCCCAGGCUCCUACGGGAGGCAGCAGUGGGGAAUUUUGGACAAUGGGCGAAAGCCUGAUCCAGCAAUGCCGCGUGCAGGAUGAAGGCCUUCGGGUUGUAAACUGCUUUUGUACGGAACGAAAAGCCCUGGGUUAAUACCCUGGGGUCAUGACGGUACCGUAAGAAUAAGCACCGGCUAACUACGUGCCAGCCGCCGCCGUAA
rnacentral:rRNA from 1 species